GCCGGCCCGGCGCGGGGCAUGGCGGGAGGCGGGCGGGGUCGGUGCUGCUCCGGAGCAUCGUCUGUGUGUUGGGCCUGCACAGUCCAGAGCGAUGAUUUUCUGUCUUUUAGUUGAGGUCUAGGGAAGAUAGAUAGUCUUGCUGUAAGCAGCCGUUCAUUUUUUAUGAGACACCGGAACACUCUUACUGGGGCAGUAAUGUCCCAGCUGUGACUGCACAGCCUCCUGUUGGGAAUCUGCCUCUGGGGCAUAUGUGGGAGGCUGCUCCUCUGAGGCGAGGAGUGGAAGGCUCUGUUUUCCUGCUUGAAUAAAGACUCUGUGCCCCUUGGAAACAAAACUCCGGCGCUAUGUUCUGUGGAUGACGCCAAACCAAAUCCUGCCUUGUGUUUUUGCACAUCUAUCUGUGCAUACGGACAGGAUCUGAAGGGACUGACUGUAUAUUUGAAUGCAGGUUCUUACUUCCACUUCUGAAGGGAGUAUGGGUGGAGGAGAGAGAAAACAAAAAGAUGGCCAUAGCAGGAAGGAAGCAGCACAGCGAGAUGUGGGUGGGAGGUUGAAAGCUGAGAGACCGCUGAAAAUUGCAUGGGUUUCUGUACUCGACCUGUCUGUACCUUUUCUUCAUGGCAGAUAAAAUCUGUUUGGAAAUGCUUCGCAACUAUUUUGACCCAUUUCAUACUGUGUUUGCCUUUAAUGUCUUUCACACAGUAUUUUCAUUAGGUCUGCGUAGUCUUAUGGAAACCACAGGCUGGAUGUGACACAGAAAUCCCAGUCCUGAGGAAUCUGGGGAAAGUCUGAACAUAAGGCUACUGACAGUGUUUCUUGCUGCGUGUUUCAUCUGAAUAUCAGCUGUCAUAAGAAGUCUCAAUACAUACAUGGUCACCUCUUUCAGGCCUGUUUAGCUUUAUGAGUGAAAUACUUAAAAUAAACAUUUGAUUGCAUGAGGUUACAGAUCAAAUAUUUUUAUUUUUAUUUGUAUUACAUAUAUUUGUAGAAAUGUGAAUGUAAAACCGAAUGUUUGAUCUGAAGCAGCUCCCAGACAAUUCAUUAGGUGGUCCGAGGAAAUCCUCAGCGAGAAACAAGAUUUUUGUUUGUACGGUUGACAGAGGAAUCUAAUGCAAUACUAGAUAAGUAAAUAUUUAGCAGUUGUCAUAGCAAAUUAAAACAGUCUGUCUUGGGUGAACCUAAGAUUAUUUCUGUUCAAUAGCCACCAGCCUAAUACUAAUAUGGAGAUGUGCUCUUUGGGUUCAUGGUGUACCCAAGUAUGCAGGUUGCAUUAAUUAAAUUAUUUAACUAAAUAAUUAAUUAAAAAUGCAUUUGCUAGGGGUUGUAAGAUUAGCUGAUGUCAUAAAUCAUCCCUGCAAGUCAUAAAAGAGGUUUGAAGGGGAAAAAAAAAAAAAAAAAAAAAAAAAAAGGACUAGAAAGCUGAUUUUUCUGCCUUCCUAAAUACCACAGAAGUUACAUAGUUGUCACUGACCUGGUGCCCAUCUGAUGCAAGCCAAUACGUAUGUUGUUGCAAAUGCUUAGGUUUGGGCUAAAGCCAAAGUUUUAUUAGUUUUCUGUGCCCUUGUCUUUAUUAAGGAGAGUUUCUGAUUAACCUCACAGUGGCACAGUUGUCCCUUUGAGGAGAGAAGAUCAGAACUCGUACGACAGCUGAGUGAUGUUAGCAGAAAGAGGAAGCACAGGCAGCUCUACAAACGGAUUUGUGUAUAUAGCCACACUGCCCAUGCCUAUCAGCCUCUCACCUGACUGUCUCUUAACCCAUCAUUAAAUCCAAUUUAGUAAAGAGUAAGAGGGCUCAGAGGCACGAUAUUCUCACACCUUUCCUGAAAAUGAGUGCUCUGGGAGAAAAGAGAUUGAUUUAGCUCCCAAAUGAAGAGACAGUGCUGUGCGUAUGUUCUUCCCUGAAACAGUGGCAGCUGGCCAUGAGUAUUGGUCAGCGUGUUAGAUGAUAGGUCACAGCACAUUUUAUCAGCACAUAUAAUCUCUUAUCUUAGUCAAACAAGAGAGAUGUGGGAGCCGUGAGUAUUCAGAACGUGGUUCACUUACGGGAGAUGGCGCAGAUGGCCAGACCAACUAGGCAGGCGUCCUGCUGAGCAUAUCAGUUAAAAGGCAUGAGUUUGGGUAAUUUCAUCAAGCCACCCGGCACCAGGUUCUGCAGCCACCUCUGUUGACACAACUGAUGCGGAUGCAAAACACAGGGUGGAGCUGAUCAGAUCAGGAGCAGGCAUGUUGAAUGGAGCAGAUAAAUUAUCCUGAUUGGAGCUGUCUUUGCUGCCCAAAGGCAGUAGCACAUGGAUCCACAGCCUUCACGUGUAAUAUCGAUUGUACACAAUGGGAAAAAAUGCUGUUUUCUUCUCAUGGGUAUAUAGAGAAGAAAGAGAAGAGAAGAAAAAAGGUGGACAUCUUGGGUAAGGAGAUGGUGCUUGUUAGCUUUUCACUUAUUACAGUCCUUGUCUGUUCUGGGCAACAUCAGAGAAUUGUGGAUGUUCUGAGGUCAAAGGCGCUGAGAAUAUAAGAUAUAUUAAAAAAAAAAAAAAACAACACAUUGGAAGGGGUUUGUUCUCCCAGUUUCCUUAGGCUUCUGUCACUGAGCUGCCAGCCAUCACCCUUUGGCUUUUGAAGUCAGUGACCAAUUUCAGCCAUAUGUGCAAGAGGAUAGAGAUCUCAAAGACAAUUAACGUCUUACAAGCUUUGCAAAAAAAAACAAAAACAAAACAACACUUGGCUGGAGGAGAAAGGGGAAUGAUUCUCCAGCAGCGGGGAAGGUGAGCAGAAGUCAGCUGCCUCCCUUCCCCAGUUAGCCACAGCCUGUGCCCACUCCCUGAGGGGACCCGAGAUGGCUGCAGGGAAGCAGCUUUAGGGAACAAAAGACACAGGUCUUUACUGGACCAGACUCCGUUGCUUGUGCUGCUCAGCAAAGUGUUCGUUGUUUUCCCGUUAGCAGCUACUGAGCUUUUCUGACAUACAGCUGAGAGCUCGCUAGCUCAGAAUUCUCUGGCAAUGCCAAGUAUCUAUUUGGUUUCCAUUAUGAGGUCAAAAUAAAGCAAUUGAAAAAGAAAUUGAGAAAUAACUUCCUAAAUAGCUUGAAGGAAACAGGAGAAAAGAGCUCCCCUUUUUCUGCUUCCCUCUUCAGCGGAUAUCAGGCUCCCAGUACCCCGGAGCGCACCACCUAUGAAUGGAUGGAACAUGAUAGCCUAUUUUUAAUUACCUCCUUUAUUUGCAGUUCUGCAAAACAAAGGAAUUUGAAAGCCUAAAGCCAAGCUUGCAAAAGGAAAACCUAGGUGUUCUUAAGGCUGAAUUCUCCACUCUCCAUCCUCGCUCUGCGCUGGUUCCCUUUUUCAUUCUGACUUUUGAAUCUGCCCUGAUGCCCUCAUCUGACACAGCAACUACAUCAGGGAGAGAGAAAACAGGAUAGGCUUUCACUUUUGUCUGGCAGCACAAGCUUGCAUUCUGUGCUUCGGAGGUUUUCAGAGGCUCUUUAUUCUAUGUAAUGUUCCUGGAGUGGAGAAGCGUAUCUUUUGUUCUUCCUUAUAAAGGGAUAUUUUUAUACACAAAGAUAUACAGUACACUGAAUUACAAGAGUGUUUUAUGUUUUGGAUUGUGAGCCUUUAACGUAGAAAUUUCUUGCCAUUCUAUAAUAUAGCUUUAUCCAAAGCAUUUAACUUCAAAACCUUUAAAGCACAGAUGAAUCAAAGCCUCAAAAUCCAUCCAACACAUCAACUAAUUGUAGUGGCAUCGAAAACAGAGUGAGACUCUUAAUUUAAACAGAUUUCACUCCCAGCAUGUUAAACAAGCUGCCUGCGUCUAUAUUCUAAGCUGUAUUAUCUUGGUUUGUGUAUGGCUGCAUAUACUUGGAAGCAAUUAAGCUGAAGGAGGGCAGUUGCGUAGUUUCUCUGCAAAUAGAAAUAAAUGUUUUAUGUUUAAGAGUAUCUCUUGUUUUAAAUGGCUUUUUGCUGUGAAACACUUUAUGCCCGAAGCGUUGAAGCAUCUGUAAGUCUUCUGAUUCCUUUAAUAUCGUUUCCAUAUUAGAUAGCCAGAUGGCGGAGAGCGAUAAUACGCUGUACUAAUCGCUUAGGAAGUCUACAGAGUGGCGCUUUGAGAUUUAGACCCACAGCUACUGCCAUCACUCUUCUGAUGGGAAGCGGCAGAUACUAUUCCAACCAAUUGAGUGUUUUAAAACAUAUAAACACUGAACAAAUGAUCUAAACAGGAAAAGGGCUGAUAAAUACCAUUCAGUGCUAAUGAACAGAAGGUUUUGUCCAGAGGAAAUAAUUCCUGUUACAAUUAUCGGAGAUCAACAUAAGCUUAUGCAACAGCAUGUAUAGAAACCUAAAUAAAGAUUUUGGCUUCUCUAUAACUAUCACAAAAAGGACGCAGAUGUGCACAGCUGAGUUACUCUACGAAGAGGAAAGGAGCCUAAGAAGUAGACUAAUUAUCUCAAUGAGUUUCUUAGUGCUUGAUUUUUAAUUCCAUAACAAUCUUCUGCCAAGUUUAAGAUUUUCUCAAUCCAACAGAUAAAUCAGCAGAAACUUACUUCCUAUAUCAAUGUCCAUAUGCCGGCAUAUUCUGGGGAAUGUUUUUAUACCUUGAAAACACAUGGUUUCCUCUCUGAACAAUGCAGUCUUAAACUAUUGGGUGCAUUUCACAAAAACAAUGUCAGACGUGCCCAUUCCUAACG